UCAAUACACUCUGGCAUCGUUAAUUAUCCACCUCUUUCUGCUUGCCAGAUCACAUUUUAUUAUUUAACAGGUCAGGCAUCAUUUAAAUUAAAAUAUAUUCUCGCCGCAAAUAUAAUAAACCCACAUUAUAUUAAGCAAUAAAAAACCCCGGACAUAAACCGGGGUUAAUUUAAAUA
rfam:Citrobacter sp. 30_2 cont1.17, whole genome shotgun sequence.